GUAAUCCAUAGUAUUGCAAUAGAAGAGGAGAAAAGAUCAUUUGUUUGGAAGUUUUGUAGAGCGAGAAGAAUGGAUUUUGAACUGAGAAGAGCGAGAGAGAAGCUAGAGCAAGAGCAGAGGGAGAGGAAACUCAAGGCUAAAUUGAAAUUGGACAGAGAGAAGAAAGCAAAACAAGAAGCUAUUCGUCAACGUGAAGCAAUUGAAGCUGUUCAGCGUGCUCGCCGACUUGAUGCUGCUGAAGCCCAAGCUAAGGCAACCCAGCAAAUUGAAGAAGAACUGCUAGCUGGACGAGGAGUUGCAUUCUCUCGUGUUUUGGAAGCUGUACCUUAUGAGGGUGCUGGAGA
rnacentral:misc_RNA from 1 species